CGGAGACCGGGGAGAGGCUUCCCCGGUUGCUAUAAAAACCGGAGUUAGCCUAUGGCGAUCCCCACGGGAAGCACGUCCCCGGGAGGAGGAACACACCCACCCUGGUCUCCGCGCGGCACAGCACUGACAACACACGAGCAAGGGGUUAUAAAAGAGAAGAUGAAGUCAAGCAUAUAAAUGAAAGCAGUACAUUUCCAAGAUAUUAAAAUACAAGCAAAUGUCAUCAAAGGAUAGAAAGAAUUGGCCACUUGAGUGGAUGGACACAGCACAGCAGCAUGCACUGGAGUCAGUGUGAAAUGGCAUCCAAUUCACAGCGGGAGGGACUUAUAUGGAAUUCAAAACCCCCAAGGAUCAGAUGCCAUGAUGAUGACAUUUUGCCUCAAUUUGAAUUCCAAGCAAGAAGAGAAAACCUGAGCUGCCGCUCCUCUGAUCCUGGAAGUUUAAGUGGGUUCAGCUAAUGUUUAUUGUCAGCCUCACAUCAGAUCUGAUGUAUCUUUUCAACUGGGCCCACACCAAUUCAGUUGGAUUCAUGUCCGAAGACCUGCAGUAAAGGUGAAACUCAGAAAAUUAGAA